GUUAUCAAACUUGGUAUUUUACCAUACCUUGUUGUGGACAAAGCGACUGACAGAAGAAGAAACUAGCAGAGAGAAUACUUAAAAUUAUUCAGGCUUUUCUAUUAUUAUUAUUCAUUUUAUAAAAUUUAGUUAAAACCGACUGAGUGAGGGUGAGAGACUGAAGUUGGACAUGUCUAGAUGGAGUGGUACCCCACAGGAUGGGAGUAGUACUAGAUCUAGGGAGGGGCCCUCAAUAGAGGUGAGGAUUUCCUCUCCACCCACCAACAGGGACCUGGGGAAGAGAGAUACCCCAUGUUUGAAAGUCCAUCGGGAUUUUGGUUUAUGGUUGGUUAGCAAAAGUUCAUGCUGGUUUUGUUUUGAGUUGCUUGGGAGCAUAUUUGCAGGGCCUAGUUAACCAUAGUUAUGGUUGAUAUCAAGAUAAUGUCGCUGAAUGUGAAUGGUUUGAAUGUAGUGAGUAAAAAAGAAAGGGGGAUGACAAAACUGAAAAAAGAAAAAGCACCAAUUAUAUUCCUACAAGAGACCCAUUUACCCAAAACAGAACAUGAAAAAUUAAAAAAAUAUGGCUACAGGAAUUUAUACUACAGUUCAUAUAAAGAGGGGCGUAGAAGAGGAGUUUUAUGAGAGGACGUCAAACACACAAUAAUAUUAGAAGAGUAUUACAUAUAGUAGAUCAAGCACAGCAGAAAAAACAAAGUACUAUAAUGGUAAGUGUUGAUGCAGAAAAAGCAUUUGAUUUGGUAAAUUGGGAAUUUCUAUAUAAAACGUUAGAACGAUUUGGAUUCAGCAAUAAAUCAAUACAGUGUAUAAAGACAUUAUAUCAACACCCCACAGCGAGAAUCAAAGUAAAUGGAAGCCUGACCGAUAAAUUCAACAUACAAAGAUCAACCAGACAGGGGUGCUCUCUAUCACCUACACUGUUCGGCCUCUUCAUAGAGCCUCUGGCACAAGCAGUAAGACAAGACAAAAAAAUUAAGGGAGUUAAAAUAAAUGGAGAGGAACACAAAAUAGGGUCUUUGCAGACGAUGUAGUAACUUUUCUUGAACAGCCAAAUGAAUCUCUACCAGAAUUGAUUAAUCUUUUUGGAAACUAUGGUUAUCUUUCGGGAUAUAAAAUUAAUGUCACCAAAACACAAAUUCCAACACUCAAUUACAUCCCAACAAAAGAAAUACAGAAGUCAUUUCCCAUUAAAUGGAAUAUGAAGGAAAUUAAAUGUCUAGGGGUUAACAUUACUAAAGGGUUAUCUCUGUUGUACAAAGCUAAUUACGAUAAAAUAAGCCAAGAGAUACAAAAAGAUAUAUUAGUGAUUCUAUAAUUGCAGAUACAUUUGAUGUCCAGAGUCAUUAUUUUUGGUCUGGUAUAUUAAAAUAUUUCAAUUUUUAAAUGUUUUAGUAAUUUAUUACUCAUUUUAAUGGAUCAUAAUAUUUAACAAGUAAAAACAUUUAAGUAAAUACAUUUAAAAUUGUUUUAUAUAGCUGAAAAACCAAGACUUCUUGUUGUCCGAGUUGGGUACUGUCUUUUUUAUUAACCUGAAAAAUGAUGCAAAAACCUAUGUUUUAUUAUUUUUCUUUGGUGAAUUUGUUUUUCUGUCUUUUUUUAAACUGCCUAAAUGGUCAAUUUAAUAACAACAUCACAUUAAAUUAACUCAAAAUACCCUUAUUUUCAAAAAAAUAUGUGUCCAAGAAUUGUUUGUCAACUCUGUUACCAUAUGGUUUUGUCCCUGUAAAUCUGUGAAAUUGCCUUCUGCGGCUAUAUAAACUGCAUAAAAUUAGGUAAUUUACUUUUACUGAUAAGAACUCAAACACACAGUGGUCUAUGUGCCAUUCUCUGGGAAAUAUUUUAAUCUAAAAAUCACAAUCAUCAGUGGUUAUUGUUUUCAACGUCAAUCUUGUUACCAAAGUAUCAUGAGAAAAAUACCACAGAUUUUUGAUCAGAGACAAGUUUAUUUAAUGGUUUUUAAACCAUUAUCUCAGUGGUGUCAUGUUUUUUCAGCAUUUCUACUCACAAGUGGAGUUUUUAAUAAAAAUGUUUGAAAUUGUCAAUUCUGUUACCAUCAACUCUGUUACCAAAUAGGGUAACAGAGUUGAUGGUAACAGAGUUUUCAGUUCUAAAUUAUUAUGGUCCUGUCAAUUCUGUUACUAACACCAACUCUGUUAGGUAACAGAGUUGACAUGUUUAUGACAUACUUUCACA